UAGGGACCAUCCGGUCGCAGCGGGGCGGCGCGUCAGACGCACUUGUCUCUCGUCCGAAGGACGCCGCAGCCGGUGGGGCAGUGCAAGCGCGACGGCCUGAAGGUGGAGAAACGGCAGGUGGCCGGUGUGCGGUCUAGGCCGUUCUGCCGGUUGUUAGCCAUCUCCUCAGUGGCCCGUCGCCCCACCGAGGUGUCACGAAGCCCUUCAUGGGCUCCACCGCCUCCUCCACAUUUGGACGCGGGAUUCUUGCGCAGGCGAACUCCACCGAACGGUACCACUGCUCCGCAGUGUCCCGUCGGGAGGAGGGCGUCGUUGGUGCAGGCGGACCCGUUGGAGGUCGGCGGCUGGCGGCGAGUAGGUCGGUCACCCACCCGACCCGUCUUGAAACACGGACCAAGGAGUCUAACAUGUGCGCGAGUCAAUGGGUCUUGAACAGGCCCAGAGGCGCAAUGAAAGCAAAGGCAGGAUUCUACUCUGCCGAGUUGGGAUCCCUCUCAUUCAUUGGGGGGGCGCACCAACGACCCGUCCCGUACCUUUUUCAAAGGUGGGGCGGAGUGUGAGCGUACACGUUGGGACCCGAAAGAUGGUGAACUAUGCCCGGACAGGACCAGGCC
rnacentral:rRNA from 1 species